AGAGUUUGAUCCUGGCUCAGAUUGAACGCUGGCGGAAUGCUUUACACAUGCAAGUCGAACGGCAGCACGGGGGCAACCCUGGUGGCGAGUGGCGAACGGGUGAGUAAUACAUCGGAACGUGCCCAGUCGUGGGGGAUAACGUAGCGAAAGCUACGCUAAUACCGCAUACGAACUCUGGUUGAAAGCGGGGGAUCGCAAGACCUCGCGCGAUUGGAGCGGCCGAUGGCAGAUUAGGUAGUUGGUGGGGUAAAGGCUCACCAAGCCGACGAUCUGUAGCUGGUCUGAGAGGACGACCAGCCACACUGGGACUGAGACACGGCCCAGACUCCUACGGGAGGCAGCAGUGGGGAAUUUUGGACAAUGGGCGCAAGCCUGAUCCAGCCAUUCCGCGUGCAGGAUGAAGGCCCUCGGGUUGUAAACUGCUUUUGUACGGAACGAAAAGGCCUGGGUUAAUACCUCGGGCUCAUGACGUACCG
rnacentral:rRNA from 1 species